GAUCAUGGCUCAGGACGAACGCUGGCGGCGUGCUUAACACAUGCAAGUCGAACGAGAAUCACUGGAAGGAGUUUUCGGACAACGGAAGGUGAGGACAGUGGCGGACGGGUGAGUAACGCGUGAGGAACCUGCCUUUCAGAGGGGGACAACAGUUGGAAACGAACUGCUAAUACCGCAUGACACAUAGAGAUCGCAUGGUUUUUAUGUCAAAGAUUUAUCGCUGAAAGAUGGCCUCGCGU
rnacentral:rRNA from 1 species